rnacentral:rRNA from 1 species
AAUAGAUACCCCGGUAGUCCACGCCGUAAACGUUGGGCGCUAGGUGUGGGGACUUUCCACGGUUUCCGUGCCGUAGCUAACGCAUUAAGCGCCCCGCCUGGGGAGUACGGCCGCAAGGCUAAAACUCAAAGGAAUUGACGGGGGGCCCGCACAAGCGGCGGAGCAUGUUGCUUAAUUCGACGCAACGCGAAGAACCUUACCAAGGCUUGACAUCGCCGGUAAUCCUCCAGAGAUGGGGGGUCCUUCGGGGAUCGGUGACAGGUGGUGCAUGGCUGUCGUCAGCUCGUGUCGUGAGAUGUUGGGUUAAGUCCCGCAACGAGCGCAACCCUUGUUCCAUGUUGCCAGCACGUGGUGGUGGGGACUCAUGGGAGACUGCCGGGGUCAACUCGGAGGAAGGUGGGGAUGACGUCAAGUCAUCAUGCCCCUUAUGUCUUGGGCUGCAAACAUGCUACAAUGGCCGGUACAGAGGGCGUGCGAUGUCGUGAGGCGGAGCGAAUCUCUUAAAGCCGGUCUCAGUUCGGAUUGGGGUCUGCAACUCGACCCC